CCUACGGGGGGCAGCAGUGGGGAAUAUUGCACAAUGGGGGAAACCCUGAUGCAGCGACGCCGCGUGAGUGAAGAAGUAUUUCGGUAUGUAAAGCUCUAUCAGCAGGGAAGAAAAUGACGGUACCUGACCAAGAAGCCCCGGCUAACUACGUGCCAGCAGCCGCGGUAAUACGUAGGGGGCAAGCGUUAUCCGGAUUUACUGGGUGUAAAGGGAGCGGAGACGGUUGUGCAAGUCAGAAGGGAAAGCCCGGGGCUCAACUCCGGGACUGCUUUUGAAACUGUGAAACUGGAGUGCAGGAGAGGUAAGCGGAAUUCCUGGUGUAGCGGUGAAAUGCGUAGAUAUCAGGAGGAACACCAGUGGCGAAGGCGGCUUACUGGACUGUAACUGACGUUGAUGCUCGAAAGCGUGGGGAGCAAACAGGAUUAGAUACCCUAGUAGUC
rnacentral:rRNA from 1 species